GACGAAGGGGGCUAGCGUUGUUCGGAAUUACUGGGCGUAAAGCGCGUGUAGGUGGUUGUCCAAGUUGGAUGUGAAAGCCUUGAGCUCAACUCAAGAAAUGCAUUCAGGACUGGAUGACUAGAGGACCGGAGAGGAUAGUGGAAUUCCCAGUGUAGUGGUGAAAUACGUAGAGAUUGGGAAGAACACCAGUGGCGAAGGCGGCUAUCUGGACGGUUUCUGACACUAAGACUCGAAAGCGUGGGGAGCAAACAGG
rnacentral:rRNA from 1 species